ACGCGAAGAACCUUACCAGGUCUUGACAUCCUCUGACAACCCUAGAGAUAGGGCUUUCCCUUCGGGGACAGAGUGACAGGUGGUGCAUGGUUGUCGUCAGCUCGUGUCGUGAGAUGUUGGGUUAAGUCCCGCAACGAGCGCAACCCUUGAUCUUAGUUGCCAGCAUUCAGUUGGGCACUCUAAGGUGACUGCCGGUGACAAACCGGAGGAAGGUGGGGAUGACGUCAAAUCAUCAUGCCCCUUAUGACCUGGGCUACACACGUGCUACAAUGGACAGAACAAAGGGCUGCGAGACCGCAAGGUUUAGCCAAUCCCACAAAUCUGUUCUCAGUUCGGAUCGCAGUCUGCAACUCGACUGCGUGAAGCUGGAAUCGCUAGUAAUCGCGGAUCAGCAUGCCGCGGUGAAUACGUUCCCGGGCCUUGUACACACCGCCCGUCACACCACGAGAGUUUGCAACACCCGAAGUCGGUGAGGUAACCUUUAUGGAGCCAGCCGCCGAAGGUGGGGCAGAUGAUUGGGGUGAAGUCGUAACAAGGUAGCCGU
rnacentral:rRNA from 1 species